CCCAGACUCCUACGGGAGGCAGCAGUGGGGAAUAUUGCACAAUGGGGGAAACCCUGAUGCAGCGACGCCGCGUGAGCGAAGAAGUAUUUCGGUAUGUAAAGCUCUAUCAGCAGGGAAGAAAAAAAUGACGGUACCUGAGUAAGAAGCACCGGCUAAAUACGUGCCAGCAGCCGCGGUAAUACGUAUGGUGCAAGCGUUAUCCGGAUUUACUGGGUGUAAAGGGAGCGUAGGCGGCGCGUUAAGUCUGAUGUGAAAACCCGAGGCUCAACCACGGGAGUGCAUUGGAAACUGGCGGGCUGGAGUGCCGGAGAGGUAAGCGGAAUUCCUAGUGUAGCGGUGAAAUGCGUAGAUAUUAGGAGGAACACCAGUGGCGAAGGCGGCUUACUGGACGGCAACUGACGCUGAGGCUCGAAAGCGUGGGGAGCAAACAGGAUUAGAUACCCUCGUAA
rnacentral:rRNA from 1 species